GUGCCAGCAGCCGCGGUAAUACGUAGGGUGCAAGCGUUGUCCGGAAUUAUUGGGCGUAAAGAGCUCGUAGGCGGUCUGUCGCGUCUGCUGUGAAAACUCAGGGCUUAACCCUGAGCUUGCAGUGGGUACGGGCAGACUAGAGUGCGGUAGGGGAGACUGGAAUUCCUGGUGUAGCGGUGAAAUGCGCAGAUAUCAGGAGGAACACCGGUGGCGAAGGCGGGUCUCUGGGCCGUAACUGACGCUGAGGAGCGAAAGCAUGGGGAGCGAACAGGAUUAGAUACCCUGGUAGUCC
rnacentral:rRNA from 1 species